CGUUGGAUGCAAUUACAUGGUACAGAUUUUACUCCCGCUUUUCCCCUGAACCGUUGGUUGAGAUAAUUACUUUUCUCACUUCUUCCUUCUCUAGAUAGUCUAUGACAAUUGGGACCGAAAGGGUGAGGGGCCGCGAGCAGAGGCAGCGACCCGUAAGUUUUUGUGUCGCUCGUUUUCGUGCCGAGCGGUGAAACCCUAGAUCUCACCGUGGCCAAUAGCUCCUCCGUUCGCUUCCUCCUCCUCCUCCUCCUCCUUCCCAAUCCCCGUCUCCCCUCCUCCCCAAUCCACUGCCGACUCUCUCCCCCGCUCCAGCCACACGUGAGGCCGGAGAGGGCACUCCCACGCGCUGGAGGAGCGCAUCCCGAGCCUCCGCCCCGACUGCUCUCCGCGAAGCCUCUUUCUCGUUGCGCGGCGGCGGCGAUGGAGGCUGCCCAGCUGCCAUCUUCGGUGGAUGCAGCAGCCUAGCGACAUCAGAUCUGACGGAGAGGCAAAGCCGACGGUGGCAUGGAGCGGGUUGUGCUCUUCCUGGUUUGGAGAGGAUACGGGAGGAGGAGGGUGCGAGAGGCGCUCCUCUCAUUUUCCCUGGAUGGGCUGACCUCUUUCCCCAGCGCAGGCAGCGGCGCCCGACGCGGCAGCGUGAGGGAUGGACCACACGUCAACGCGGAGCAGCAGCACGCCCUGGAUGCGAGCUCAUCCGUUUCCUGUGACGCCAUGCUGCUGGCCAAGUAGGGCAGGGCACUUUUUAGGAUGACAGGCUGCUCCUGCAAGAAAACGAGGACAAUAGCAUCACUCCCACAUGAAUUGGUACUGAUAUGGAUGCUGAAGCACUUAAUUACCGUAUGUCGAGUGGCUCAAGAGACAGAAGAUGUACCUCAAAGAAUCUGUCCCAAAAACUGACAGUUGCUUGAAGCAUUUUUGGUUCAUGACACCUUCAUGAUAGGACCAUUAUCUGGUUGAAAUAUCUGGUAGACUAUCAGGUUAAAUUACCAAUGAGGUUGAUGCUAUUGUUUCCUGAAAUGGUACCAUUGGAAUGGAUCAGCUGCAUUGGUAGCGAUGACUGCAAAGCUGCGAUUUUAUCUCCAUUUGCUCUAGACUAUGGCACUGUAGUGAUCUGAAAGGAAGACUUUAUUUCCAAGCUGCGGGUACUGCCAGCUGUGGCCAUCGAUGCUGGGAGCGGCGAUGAUGGUGCGGCGGGGCCAAAGGUGCUGCCAGGGACAGAAACAUUGCUGCAAGCGACAUGCGACAGUGCUGCCAAAGACGGCCAGGGAUACUACGAGAGGCAGGUGGGGGUGCUACCAGCGGUGGCCGGUGAUGCUAAGAGCAUGCUAUAUUUCUGUGCGUGUGUUGAGUUGUCCGUGUGGGUUCACGCUUUCUCCAGCAGAAAGUACGAUUGGGUGGAGGAGUCAAGUGCGGAUCAGCUGGCUAUGAGAGACUCGAUUUUACUGCAGAAGGUGGAGGAAUUGGGUUUACGAUUUCCUGAAAGACGCCAUCCAUUAAUAUAGUGAGAUUGUUCCUAUUCACAACGAGACCAAUGAUGGUCAGUUAUCUGGGCGUGAAGUUUAGCUGGCUUGUUGAAAAUCAUUAUGACAGUUCUGAUGCACCCUGUUGUUCGCUUAGAGCUGGUGUUGAUCCAUAACAACUGAUGUUAUAUUUAGUGCUAAACGAUAUGUAAUAUAAAUACAUGUUUUUUCUCCUAAUGUGCUUAUGAAACUGAAUGUGCAAACAUUUUCUUAUUUAGUAAUAUUUUUCUCUGCCUAGAACUUCUAAUUUAUGUCCGAUGUCAGUUCCAUAUAUUUAGGUGUUUGUGAUUUGUUAAACUAUGUAUUCAAUCUUAAUAUGAACUAAUGAGCAAUGCAAUUAAUGCAUGUGAUUAGUCUGAUGGAUCUUUCGUGUAUUAGUAUCUGCCUUUAUACAAGGCUUCGUUGAAAUAAAAUCAUGUUAUGUGUUCCUUGACAUACUAUAUCAGGUAUGAUGCAGCCUGGAGACAAGACUUUGCAAGCUUCUGUACAUGCCAAUAGAGUAUGUCAGAUCUACUUCUCUAAUGUCUAGGAUCCACUAGCUUUUCAGGGUUCAUGCUACUUGCUGCAGAUGGUGUUCCCACGAUUGUCUGGCAUGGUGGAUCCAAUCCAAUCAUCAGUCUGUUUUAUGCAACAUUGUUACCUGCAGAACGGCACUGAUGAACCUUGACUAAAUUUCCGUAGACUAUGCAUAUUACCAACGUUGUCGUAAUAAUAUUGUUGUAACUAUUACUCAGCUCUGUAAUCUUGCUGAUUUGAUGUGGUUAGUGUAGUAGUAAAUCUUGCAGCCACCAACUGAUGCUUUUGAGGUUUAACUUUUGCUUCUUUCUUGGGUAGGUUGGUAUAAAGGUGAAGAACUUCAAGGCCUUGUUGGUUUGCAAGGUGCUGGUUGUUGAUGCGAGCUUAUUUGGAGCCUCCAGAUUAUCCCGGGCAUCAUCAAAAGGAUGGCAGCAAUGGACUUUGUCAUGGAUCUGAGCAAAAAGAAGAGUCCUGGGGAGGUGAUUUGUAGGAAGGAGGCGACCAGUACUGGUCAAAACUGUUGUGUUUGGUAGAAUAGGUGCCAUUGAAUGUUACUCCCAGUUGCCUAUCAUGUAGGCAUUUUGAGGUACUCAUAGCAUCUACAGAGUGGGCCAAUAUUCGAAAAGAGCACAAGACUUGAGGAUUUGAGCAUGCUUGUAGGCUAGAAGCAUCACCUUCAGACUUCGUCACUUGUUGACAGUCUAAAAUUGACCCUGAACUCAUAUGGGCACUUGCUAAGCAAGAUGUCAAAGACAAGCACCAGCUGAAGAAAAUACAGCCGGUAAAGGCACCAACGAAGGAAAACCUUCAGGCGUCAAACAUGAUGGAAGGAUGUUGGAUGGUCAGCUUCUACUUACUCAUUUCCCUGUGGGUGGCGGCGGCAGUGACGACUUGGUUGGAGGGGAUGCGGUAGGAGGAGGGCGCAAAGGGGCGGGAGGGGUGGCCGCCGGGGAGGCGGAGCUGUGCCGGCCACUGCAAGUGAGGAAGAGGAUGGAGCUUGGUGCAGCAGAAGGGGAGAGCCUCAAGGGGUUGGAGCGACGACUACUCCGCCCUCGCCAGCUUCCGCCGCCGCUCCUCCCUUGCGCAGCCCGUCCACGGGUUCGGGCGCCGUCUCGGAAAUUGAGGAGCCGGUCGGCCCGCUCAGGGGCGUGGCCAUCGGUGUCCAGCGUGCUGCUCGACGGCCGUUUCUGCAACGUCUGAGGAAGAAGAGAAGGAGGAUAUCAAGCAGGGGAUGUUGGGCUCUAAUGGUUGGAGGUAGCCAUGACUGCCAGUGGUAGCCAGAGAGGUCGUUUGGCUGCUUUGUAUAUGGCACAAGGAGGAAGGGAGCUGGAGACGACGAUGGAACCAAACAAUCCUACAUCAACAACAGGUGCUCCCGAGCGAUGGCGGCGGCGGCAGGGAGCGCGCGCCUGAGCGAGGAAGGGGUUUGAAGUGUCCGUGCCAGCAACCUCACCGUCUCCAACCUAUCUGCAGGUGAGCAACGAAUUUGAGACUUGUUCUUGGUUUUUCUGCAGUUCGUGGAGCGGGUCCGAAGCAGUUGGGUAGCAGCCCUCAAAUUAGGAUUGCUUGCAUAGCAGGAGCAAGCAACGGGGCGCGCCGCCGCUGCCAAGGAGGCGCUGGAGGAGGUGCCGAAGAGGGAGGCUCGGGGCCUUGCGAUGCGUCGCCAGCGCGGCCCGAAGGAGGUGGCCGAGCAGAAGGCUGCGAGCGACGGCGAGGCCGCCACGGUGGAGCACGAGUCGUCCGGCUCCGUGCACGUACCAUGUCUGUCCCGGCCUCUAUUGUUCCCUGUGCUUGACCGUCGAAGUGCUCCUAGAUCGGAUUCACUCGAUUGGAACGGUGAUGCCAGCCAGUGAACUACGGGUUGUCUGCCGCGCCCGCUGGCCGCAGGCGACGACCAGCAUUGAUGCGGGAAUACUGUGGGGAAGAAGAUGCAUCAUCUAGGAGGAAGAUCAGCAUAUAAAUGCUGAGCUGAAGUUCAG